CUAACGAUUGAUCUAGUUACUUAGAAAGAUGAAAAUUAUGAAAAAUAAAAAGGAAAAUAAGAAUGAAGAAUAUAAAAUCUAAAUAUAUAAUAAUAUUUAAUAAUGAUAAAUAAUAUAUUAAUGUCUUAACAAAAAUUAGUGCCAGCAGUUGCGGCUAAACUAAGGAGGCAAACGUUAAUCAUUAAAGGCUUAAAGGAUCCGCAAAAUGAUAUAUAUAAAUAUAUAAUAGAGUUAAAUAUAAUAGAUAAUGUAUAAUUAAUAAGAACGAUGAAAUGUAAUAAAAUUAUUUAGACAAACAAAAUUGAAGAUUUUAUUUAAAAAUUUAACUGACAUUGAGGGAUGAAGGCAUAAGUAGUAAAACGGAUUAGAUACCCGAGUAAUUUAUGCAGUAAACGAUGAGUACUAAAAAAAAAAAGUGAAGACUUAAGUAUUCCGCCAGGUGAG
rnacentral:rRNA from 1 species